GGGAGGGGGAGAGUGAGAGGGACCUACCAACCAAAAAAUGGCGGCGGAAGUUCAGCUGAGCAGCAACAUGAGGAAAGCUCUCCUGGUUCUGAAUUGUGUGAUUCUCUCAAUUGGAAACUGCGGUGGUCCCUUGGUGAUGCGCCUGUAUUUCGUUCUUGGCGGCGAGAGAAUAUGGUUUUCCAGUUGGUUGGAAACGGUUGGGUGGCCCUUGAUCCUAGUCCCUCUCAUCAUCACUUACAUGCACCGCCGAACCAAGCAAGACUCCCAUGCCAAACUCUUCUUCAUGAAACCUCCUCUGUUCGUGGCCUCCGCUGUUAUCGGUGUCCUCACCGGAUUCGAUGACUACCUCUAUGCCUAUGGCGUAGCAAAACUGCCCGUUUCAACAUCAGCUCUCAUUGUCGCAAGCCAGCUCGCUUUCACAGCAGCCUUCGCGUUCCUCUUGGUGAAACAAAAGUUCACCUCAUACUCCGUAAAUGCCAUAUUUCUGUUGAGUAUCGGUGCCGGUGUCUUGGCUUUACACACUAGCUCCGACCGCCCUACUAAUGAGUCCAACAAAGAAUAUUACCUCGGGUUUGUCAUGACACUUGCAGCUGCAGCGCUCUAUGGUUUCAUUCUCCCCUUGGUUGAAUUAACCUACAAGAAAACAAAGCAGGCAAUAACCUACUCACUGGUCAUGGAGAUUCAAAUGGUGAUGUGCUUCUUCGCCACCGUCUUUUGCACAGUGGGGAUGUUGGUUAAUAAUGACUUUCAGGUGCAUUUCUCUUUUCUCUCCACUCAAUUACCCUAACAUAUUCAACCAGAUAGAAGAUUGAUAAUUUAUGUUUGCUUCUUCCUCAUUUAAUUUUGUAGGCAAUUUCCAGAGAAGCAAAAGAAUACGAGCUUGGAGAAGCUAAAUAUUAUCUGGUGGUGGUAUGGAAUGGGAUCAUAUGGCAGUGUUUCUUCUUAGUAUCAAUAGGAGUCAUCUUUAGCGCUUCAUCUUUGGUAUGCGGUAUUGUGAUUACUGUCCUACUCCCCGUGACAGAGAUCUUGGCUGUUAUUUUCUUCCGAGAAAAAUUUCAAGCAGAGAAGGGGGUUUCACUGGCUCUCUCUCUGUGGGGCUUUGUUUCCUACUUCUACGGCGAGAUAAAGGAUAGCAAGAAAAAGAAGAAUCCCACUUCCGAGACGGAGCUGCCUCAAACGGUCAAUCCAUGACAAACAAAUAUCUUUCUUAUUCCCCGGAAGGCAAGGGACAGGAUUACAUAUAAGCAUUUACCAGGUAAUUUAAAGAAAUACUUCGUCCGUAUGUUAACAGGCAGUUUAGCUGAUUCACCAAAUCUGUGUAAAGGAAAUGCUUGAAUUUCGUUCCUAAAUACAUGCUUGAAUAUUGAAUUUACUUGAAUUCUACAACCGCUGUGAGCGGAACAUGUUGAAAAUGAGAUCAUUUAAUUGUUCUAUAUAAGAUAAUUUCAAGAAUGAGCAAGUCUUGUUUUUUUAGUUUUCAAUUUUAGUGGUUUAUGAAAUCACAGAAAAAAGAUCAUGGGUGUUUUCAAAUUUAGAGUUUUUAUCUACCAUCAACUCAACAACCUCUGAUCCCAAUAACCACUUGCACUCAUUUGGAGGUAGGUGUCAACUACUCUCGUCAACUGCCACAGUAUCAAAUGAACCACAACAACUAUAUUUUCCAUAUUUUGUAGUGGAUGAUAUUGAUAUGAAGCGAAUAAGACGCGAGCUGCGCUCACAGGCUAGGACUUUAAUUGGUGAAGCCUCCCAACUCAUAUAGUCAACUCGCUCGAAAUUCAGUUGUUAAAGUUUUCUAAUAAAUAAAACAGUUAUUUUAAAAUAUAAAAAUUUAAAUUAUAUCAUAAAAUACUAAGGUAAAGAAAUUAGAAAAUACUAAAAUAUCAAUUCCAUAUAUAUCAAGCUUUCGAUUUUGAUCAUUAAAAGUAUAUAAUAAAAUUUAAGCCUGUGAAUAAUGAUUACUACUCAAAAAGUGUUAUUUGAUAGCCUGUAAUUAAUCCUUUUAAACACUUUUGAGUAGUAGUUUAGGCCUUUUAACUCAAUUGGCAUGUUAAGGAUCCUUUAAAGCAAUUUUGAUCACUUUGUGUAAGUUUUGGUGUUUUUGUUAGUAUUUUGAUCACCAAAACAAGUCAAGACUGAGGAGAGCUAUGAGGAAUCUUGGGUAAAGCUUAGAAGUCAUUUUCCAAGAGUGAAUCCGGAUUGCAAGGAGAAAAAGCAAAGAGAAUCUGCCAUAAAGCAUAUUCUUGAUGACAGUCGUAGCAGCCACUUUUAGAGCACUUUAUGAAGUCCAAAUGAUGCAUGCUAUAUACCAUUUUAAAGCUCAGGAAGUCAACAAUCCAAUGCUUCAAACGGUGUGCAAUUCGGAGUUGAAACGAAGAAGUUGCAGCCAUUACAAGCCAAUCACUCCGAGCUGAAGAAAACAUUUUGCAAAGUGCUGCGAAAUCACCCUUUUGUUGCGAAGUGAUUUCGCAGCAUUUUUGUACAGUAAGGUGUUUCUCCUUCUGACGAUGCACGAACCAUGCCGCGAGAAGGGAGCUGGGAACCUCAAGGUGGAAGCCAACUUCGCAGCCAUGUGAAGAUAGCUCGGUGUUGCGAAAUAAUUUCGCAGCCCUCUUGGGUGUCUGCGAAAUUUCGCAGACACCAUAUUUCUCCUGCGAAAUGGUUCCUGAAGCCUCCCGAAGCUUGCUACCGACAUUGGGAGAUAUUUUCCAUUAGAUUUUUGUUGUCUAAAUCCCAAAAUACUCCUUGUAAACCACCAAUUACAUGAUUCCUUAGUUUUUAAGUUAGUAAAAAGACUAAAUAUCUUUGUAACAAUUAGUUUUAUAUUAUGUUGAUAUAUAUACCUCUCGAGAGCCUGUUCUCAGGGAGGAGUUCCUUUUGUAAACCGUUUGGGUAAGCAAGUAAAGGUCUUUUUCUUUCUACUGCCUUACCUUCUCACUUUGUAUUUUCAGUUUAUUUCUAAGUUAUGAAUUCUCUGAGGAGUUUUCCCCAGAGAAUGAGUAACUAAACCUCUAAUUCCUUGGAGCUAAGGUUGCCGGGGAAGGUUCCAAGUGCAAGAAUGCAAAGCUUUGUGGUUUUAGCUAGUAAUGAAGAGGAAGUGAAAUCCUUUAGUGAUUUCUAUGUUUUUAGUUAACUUAAAACACCUUGGAGUUACCUGGGCCAACACUUGGUAAGGCAAGUGAUUUUCAACCAUGGAAAUGCACUAGUUUACCCCUUGCGAGCCUCUGGGAGGUGACUUCAGGGUAGGAUUUUCUAGAAUAGCCAACACUUGGUAAGCUUUUGGACUCCUAGGAGGCAUCCAUUAGUUAUCUCUUGCGAGCUUUUGACGGGUAAUCCAAGGUUAAAGAUCACCUUGAAUGGUUAAGGCUUAGUGAGAGGCUUAAACCAUUGCAAGUUGCAUCAGUGAGAGAAUUAAAGUGAAAUCUAAUUGAAGGAGUCUCUGUACAUCACCGGUUAGAGAAUUGACUAUGUGUUGAAUCUCUAAUGCGAGGAAAUGAACCAUCUGACCAAAGCCGUGUCUUUUGCAUGAGGAACCACCCCAGUGAACCUAAAUCUCUAAGGAAUGCUUUUCUUCCUAAAUUAUUCCAAACUUCUGUUAAGUUAGUUAGUUUAAGUCUCAACUUUUACCAAUCAAAGUUUGUGUUUUACUUCUUAAGCUAACCAUAAAAUGAAACAAGACCAAUUCACUUGGAAUUGGUAUCAUUGAUUGCUUGUUAGUCAUUCCCAGUGAACGACCCUAGAGCCACUAUACUAUAGUAGCUUUUUCUUUGCUACCCUAGUGUAUGGUGUUAUAGGUAAUAAAUUUUGUUGAUCACUUCCUCAAUCAAGGAGCACCAGCUGAACACCAAUCAGCUGAGACACCAAUUGAGCAUGAAUCAAAUAAGAUUACGAAUAUAUGGAUUCAAUAUAUAAACGAGUGGGAUGGAACAUGACUCAAAUGAAUAAGGCAUAAAAAAGACAAAUAAUAAUGAUGCCAGACUAUAUAUGUGAUAAUGAUGAUAGAUUGUAGAUGGAGAUGGAUUUCAUAUAAAAAUAAGGAUUUUAUAUUUAAAAUUCAUUUUUAAAGAAUAAAAUACAUUAAAAAACAGUUAAACAUAAAUCGAAGACUUUUUUACUUUAAAUUUCUCUCAAAAGGAAAUUUUAUAAAUAAAAUAAAUUUAUACGAGUAUUAAUCGACAAAAUUUCAAAUCAACAAUAAUUCUUGCAUUUGUAUCAAACUUUAAAAGAUGUAAGUGAAAUUAAUCCUAUUUUUGGAUUGUUAUUUAUAUCAAAUCUUCCCCAUCUUAAUUCCAACCCAAACCAAACUUGACAUGGAUUGGGUGGAACAACUUUAACAAAACUUCAAGUUGUCAUCUCUAAUGUUAGUUUGGAAUAGAAAAUAAAAAUGAAACAAUUUCAUUCUCCUCUAUUAAUGUAUCCAGACUAUUUAUUACGAUGAAAAUUAGAAUAAAAAGUUCAUUAGUAUAUAAACCAAAUCUGCCUAUGAAUAAAAAAACAGUAGAUAAAUACUCUAAGGUUACUUUGGAAUAGAGAAUAAGAAUGGAAGAAUUUCAUUCUUCUUUAUUAAUGGAUCCAGAUUGUUGUUUACAAUGAGAAUAAGAGAAUUAGAAUAAAAAUUUCGUUAGUAGGUAAACCAAAUCUGCCAAUGAAAAAAAAAGACCACAGAUAAAUCAAAUCUCACUUUUACAAUAAUUUUGAUUCAUUCUUUUGUACAUGAUAGUGUGAUUCACUUUCAUUCUCUUUCUAUUCCACUUUUCUACUUUUCCACCUACCACUCAUCCUAGUCGUAAUGUGAUUAUUGUGUCUCGUAUCUUUGGUAAAGAGAACCAACCGACUAUAUCUCAACAAAGCGUCCAUCAUUUAUGCCAUGCAGCGUACAUCAUGCGAAAGAGCCAAUGAGCGUUUCACAUAUGGUAUAGCAAAACUGCCCAUUUCAACAUCUGCUCUCAUUAUCGCAAGCCAGCUCGCUUUCACAGCAGCCUUUGCAUUCCUCUUGGUGAAACAAAAGUUUACUUCAUACUUCGUAAAUGCCAUAUUUCUUUUGAGUAUCGGUGCUGGUGUCUUGGCUCUACACAAUAGCUCUGACUACCCCGCCAACGAAUCUAACAAAGAAUAUUAUCUCGGGUUUUUCAUGAUACUAGCAGCUGCAACGCUCUAUGGUUUCAUUUUCCCGUUGGUUGAAUUAACCUACAAGAAAGCAAAGCAGGCAAUAACCUACUCACUGGUCAUGGAGAUUCAAAUGGUGAUGUGCUUCUUCGCCACCGUCUUUUGCACAGUGGGGAUUGUUGAUGCCUCGCGUCCCAGGGAUCCACACAGCUGCCAAGUGGACGCGCGCUUUCAACCAAGAAUGAAUUCUGGCUCAGUCGAUCCUGCAAAAGAUGUCCGGACACAUCCUCCGAUGGUUUUGUUAGUCAUGGCUCAAUGGAUCAGGCUGUUGCCCUUUUUUCUGAGUUAGCUGACUUACCUUCUUCUUUGCAUGAAGGUUCUUUUAUAUAGUGUCAGAAGCUCCGCUCCCCUCUUUAAUGGCGGGAAGACUUUUUGGCUUGUCAUGAUGUCCCUGAGGUGAUGGCAGAAUCAUCAUCACCUUCCAAACGGCUGUUAGAAAUCGUGGGAGGUGACUUGUCAUCACUCCUGUCCUUUCGCUCUACAGGCGGCGAAACGUGGGCUAUGACAGGUUGUCUGGGGUGACUCAGCAUGGCUUACUUUUUAUGGUCAAUGAUCCGGACAAUGUAUUCGGAUAGAAUAGAGCACAGUCCGGGUAUAAUAUUUGAGAGUGUCGUGUGUCUCCUUGAGGGACCUGGAUAGAGCUGGCGUGCCAUGUGGACUCUGAGGGGGUCCCUACAAUGCCCCCCUUUUAACCUGGCGAUUUUGUCCUGGCAGAAUGGGUAGGUUAAAAAAAAUGAUGACUUUGAAAGUUUGGUUGUUUUUUGCGUUUAUUGUGCCAUGUGGCGGUGCGGAGGCGAAAAGAAGGAAGAGCAUUUAUGGCGAGCCGCCAUCCUUGGGAAUUCCUAUGCGGCAUGUCGUUUCAAUAGCAGCGUGGCUGGGAGUUUGGAAUACCGAGGGGUUGUCUCCCUUUAAAUAGUAGACCCAGCCCCCACAACUGCAUUUCUUCCUUCUGCAUUUCUGUUGCUAGUGUUUUCGUUUAGGUUCUUUGUGUAUUCUUGCCUGUGAGUGAAGUUCUAGGGCUUUUGCUAGCGACAUUCGCGUCGUGAGGGUGACUGCAUCGCGGCCUUCGUCCUCAUUUGCCAGUUUGCACCAGGUACGUUCUCUAUUUCUACCUUCUCUCCAUUGGGUUUCUUUUUUAUUUUAUCUUGCUUGUUAGGUAGGUUGCUUGCGAUUGAGGGUCGGUGCUGGUGUUUAGGGAUUUUUCCGGGGGGGGGGGGGGGGGGNNNNNNNNNNNNNNNNNNNNNNNNNNNNNNNNNNNNNNNNNNNNNNNNNNNNNNNNNNNNNNNNNNNNNNNNNNNNNNNNNNNNNNNNNNNNNNNNNNNNUUUGGGGUUUUUCCAAGCCACUUUCGGUUGGGGGGGGGGAGUGCUUGGGGCCUUUCUCCUUUUUUUCCCGUUUUCCCCCGGGACCUUUUUUUUUUUCUCCUUUUUCCCCAGGGGUUUUUUUUUUUUUUUUUUUUUCUUUUUUGGGUGGUUGUUUGGGGUUGGGGGGGGGGGGUGGGUUUUUGGGAUUUUUCCGGGGGGGGGGGGGGGGGGGGGUUUGCUUUCGUUUUGGGCCUGUUGGGGUUCCUGUUGCCCCCUAUAGCCUUUGCGGGUGACUGGUCCUACUUUGGGGUAGAGUCAAGGGUUAGGUUGGGGAUGUUGGCUAUUUUAGGCUUUCUGGGCGUUUUUUGCUAUUAGGGUUAUGGGGCCGGGUCCUUCUAUUUUACUGUUGGCAUUUCGCCAUGCAGGUUCCGUUUCGGCCCCAUACUUUAAAAUGCCUGCGAAAAAGGACGUAGCUUCGUCCAGUGCGGUUGGGCCCAGCGGAAAGAAUGCGUCCGGGGUGGUCUAUGCGGAGAAGCCUGUUGACAAGCUGAACGUGAGGCAGUUUUGUGAACGCUUCUGCAUUCCGAACGGCGUAUCCGUUCAGCUUGUGGACGGAGAGGUCGUAUCCACCGAGAAAUCUGUGGACAACGCUAUCUAUUUCUCUAAGGAGCAAUUCAACGCGGGGCUUCGGUUCUUUCUCCCGUCUCUCUUCAAAGAGUUUCUUCACUUCACCAAGAUCCCUCCGGCCUACAUCCAUCCCAACAUAGUCCGGGUGUUGAUGGGGUGCAGCAUUUUGAACAUGUUGUUCAACUUGGAUCUUUUGCUGCUGGGGGUCCAUUUCAUCUACUCCAUCAAGAAGGGGAAAACUGACCUCUUCAACUUGUUUACCCAUAUCCCGUCCCUCCAAUUGGUGACUAAUCUCCCAGAUUCGAUGAAGGGGAGAGCCAAAGGACAUGUACUAGUCAAGGGUGUUUAGGCUGGACUGUCGGAACAUCCGGAGAGAUUGUUUUCCCUAAAUCGUUCACUGGCGCUCCCGGGGUAGGGUAGAUUUUCGAGUUUGUCCGGCGUGCAUUUCUUGUUCUUUUACUUUCGUGUUAUCAGAUGGCUAACUUUUUUGGUUGUGGGCAACGUAGGUAAGUCCAAGAGGGACCGCCUAGUCGAGUGGGUGGAGAAAGCCUCUUUUGAUCGCUUGAACAAGCUGUUCGAGAUUACUGCUACUAAGAGGCAUUAUCAGACGUUGCUCACUACUCGGAACCUGUUGGCAGUUGUCCGGGAGCCUCACCCGUACGUCACCAACAUUCUCCCUAGGCGAUUGCCAAAACGUGUAGUGUCUUGGGAGCAUUUUGUGUUGAAAGAUUUGCCCUUCUACGAGAGGGCUCGCAAGGCUAACACAAAGGCGCGCCAGGAGCGCCUUAACCAGCAAGAGGAGAAGAGGCAGAAGGGGACAUUGAGGAAAGCACCUGGUGAGAAGGGGCGCGACUCUUCCCCAGCCGCCUUCCCCCGGCCACAAAAGAAAAGAAGAAGACGAAGAAGACUCGUGCGCAGGUGCUCUAGAUAGUGGCCCCAACUCUUGAGGCUUCGUCUUCGUCUUGCAGGUCCGAGCCCAAUCAGCCGGACCACACUAUUCCGGAGUCUAAGGAGGUUGAGGAACCUGAGGCCAUCACCAGUUCGCCACAGCUUGAAACCUUCCAUCCGGGGCCUAGCUUUCCCCAGCCGCAGUCGGAGUUUGUUGGCUUGAGGGUCGUGGAUGAGCCAGAGGAAAUGAGAGAUGCAAACGACCUUAGGGCGGGGCUUUUGCAAAGACAUCGACCUUGGCCCCCCCAGUUAAGAAAGUUUGUCCGGAGCAGGGUGGAGAGGACCCGACGCCAGAAUUUUGGCUUCAGCUGUGACUCGUCCAGACGAGGUGGGUAUUAGCGCAACUUCCACGGCUCAGCCGGAUGCCGCAGGGUCUAGCGCGGCGGCAACGGUUCAGGCCAACGCUUCGGGGCCUAGCUCAACGACUGCUGCUCAAUCGAGUACAACUGCCUUCGGCAAUGCCCCGACUGCUGUGGAGACCCAUGCGUCAGAGGGGGUUCCGGAUGCGUCGAACGACGAGAAGGCUUCGGACGAAAAGAGCAGUCCUGCUGUUGCAGUUCCUCCAAGCUAGGAGGAAAUGAUGGAGAUGCUGAAAGGAGUGCCAUGCUUCACGGAUGUAGAGACGCCUUCCACGAGGAUGUCAGACUUCUUCCCUUUGACCAAACGUGUCUCUGUGAACAUGGGUGGGGACCCUCCUGCUUUUGUCAAGGCGCGGCUCCCUUUUGGCGCUCCUGAGUCCAUCGUAUCUUGCAUUCAACACCUAUAGGAAUGGACGAUUCCAGAGACUGUAGAAGUGGUAAAUACUUCUUUGCUGUUUUUCUCUUCUUUCUUAGCAGUUGCUACUUUUCCAUGUAACAUUGUCUGUUGUUUUGUUGUUGCUUUGCCCAUGUUGUAGCCGGCAUCCACUACAUGAUGUGCACACGCGAGCAGCUUUUCAAGCGGCUGGAAUUGGUGGAGGCCAUGCAUGCCUUUAUCUCCCAACAUCCGGGUGGCAUCGAGGAGCUGCGCGCCAAGUUGGAGAAGGUGGAGGCCGAAUUGGCCGCUGCUCGGAAAGCUGUGGCGGAUGGGACGGAGCAACUAGGUCGGGUUGAAGGGGAUAAGGAGACUAUCCGGGCCGAGGCUGACAUCCUGAAGAAAGAAAAGCAAGCCUUGGAGGGCUAAGUCAAUGCAGCUGGGCAGGAGAACCUCCAGUUGAAGAGAGAGACGGAUGAACUCCUGGAUAGCCUUGCCGCCCAGAAGAAGGAGUCAGAGGAUUUGCGGGAGGGUCUGGCGGCUCAAAAGGAGAAAAUGGAGGCUAGGUUCGCCGCUCAGAAGAAGGAGAUGGAGGAGGAAUACCAGAAGCAGGCAGACGAGAUGUAUUUCUUUGGCUACCGUUGUUGUAUGAAGAAACACGGAAUUAUGCAUGAUAUUCCUUCUUUCCUUUCUGAUGAGGAAGAUACAACACCUGGGGGUCCGUCCAGCUGAAACUUCCUUCUGUACAGACUUUAUAAUUUUUCCUCUUUGUUUUGCUGCACAUGGGGCAGUUAUUUUUGUAAAGACACUUUUUACUUAUUUAUAAAUACAUUACAUUUCUUCUGUUUUUUGCUUACUCCUCAUUUCCUUUCAUUGAUAAUACUGCUUAAGAUUGGAUACAUUUCAUGGACGGAGCAGCGAGGUUCCAUCUAGCUUCUAUAGAUGAUAGACUCCACUUUCACUUGUCUUGGACACAAUGUAAGGGUCUUCCCAAUUUGCUUGGAAUUUUCCUGCUCCCUUUUCAGCAGUGUUCUUGAAAACCUUUAUGAGGACCAACGUUCCACCUUUGAAGCUCUUGGGUCGUGCCUUGCGUUUGUAGUGAGCUGCCGCCCUUUGUAGGUAGUCGGUCAUUCGAAUGGAUGCGUUCUCUCUCACUUCAUCCACCCAGUCCAAAUUUCUUCCUAGUUCCACAUUUGCAUCACCCUGUCGUCCUACCUCAAUCCGGAUAGUGGGUAGGCCUAUUUCUGUAGGGAUGACUACAUCCAUACCGUAUGCGAGGGCGAAGGGAGUGUUUCCUGUUGGUCACCCGGGUGUGCUUCGAUAGGCCCAUAGGACGCCGGGUAACUCCUCUACCCACUUCCAUUUGGCUUGCCCGAGCCUCUUCUUUAAGGUAGUUACCAGGGUUUUGUUUUUGCCUCUGCCUGUCCAUUGCUUUGAGGAUAAUGUGGUGUGGAGUAUAAAUUCCAGAUGUUAAGUUCCGAACAGAAAUUCCAGAAAGUGAUGCUAUCAAACUGCGGGUCGUUAUCAGCUAUAAUGGUUUGAGGGAUUCCAAAGCGACAGAUGAUGUUCUUCCAUACGAACUUGGUGAUGUCUUUGUCCUUGAUGCUAGCGUAUGCUUCAUCUUCUACCCAUUUACUGAAGUAAUCUGUGGUGACGAGUAGAAAUUUCUUCUAGGCAACUGCGGCUGGUAGGGGUCUUACUAUGUCCAUCCCCCAUUGCGCGAAGGGUCAGAGGCUAGAAAUUAGUUUUAAUGUCUCAGAUGGUGCAUGCGGUAUGAGGGCAUGCCUCUGGCAUUUGUCACACUUCUUGACAUAAGCUGCCGCAUCUUUCUCAUCGUGGGCCAAUAAUAUCCUUGCGAGUGGGCCUGAUGAGCUAGAGAUCGACCUCUAGAAUGAUUGUCGCACACACCCUCAUGUAACUCAUCCAAUACAUACAAGGCUUCCGAGUGAUCCAGGCACCUAAGGUAGGGGCCUGUGAAGGAUCGCUUGUAGAGGUGCCCCCCGAUUAGGGUGAAACGGGCGGCUUGUACUCAGAUCUUAUGUGCCUGCCUGGGUUCUUCGGGCAAAGUUCCUAUUCGGAGAUACCUUAUUAUGACUUUCGUCCAUUCUUAGCCGUCUGUUUGGCUCGCCUCAAUAGUAUUGCAAGUGGAGGCUUCUGUGAUGGAGGGGUCAGUUUGCACGUGUAUGGGCAAUAAUAUGGCCUCUUUGAUGGGGAGGGAAACGGCUAUCCCUGCCAGGGUGUCGGCACGUCCAUUAUCAGCUCAUGGAAUUUUUUUCGAUUGUUCAUUCGACAAACCGUUGCAGGGUGUCUCUUACUUUAGUCAGAUAUCGCGCCAUGCGUUCAUCUUUGGCUUCGUAUUCCUCCUGGACGUGUCUUACCACGAGUUGGGAAUCACUGUAGAUUCGAAGCUUGGAGACAGAUAAGGCCAAGGCAAGAUCUAAUCCGAAUAGGAUGGCUUAAUAUUCUAUUUCAUUGUUAGACGCGAGGAAUCCCAGUCGAAUAGCUUGCUCUAGCUGUUCUCCCGUUGGGGAUUGCAGUAGGAGCCCUACUCCGGAUCCUGAUGACCGAGAGGCUUCAUCAACCCGCAAGGUCCACCACUCUUCUUCGCAUGGUUCUUUGCGUUGAGCAGGUUUUUGAGAGUAUUUUAGCAUGAAGUCAGCCAUUACCUGCCCUUUCAUGGACAAUCUCGGUUGGUAUUCAAUUUCGUACUCGCUCAACUCUAUGGCCCAUUGAAGCAUUCUUCCGGUCAGGUCCGGCUUGUGCAGGAUGUUGCGAAGGGGCUGGUCGAUCAGCACGACCACUGGGUGGGCUUGGAAGUAAGGGCGGAGCUUCUAGGCGGCACUUCGAAUGGCCAAAGCUGUUUGCUCCAUCUUUGAGUACCUUGUUUCUACGUCAGUCAAUGCCCUGCUAACAUAAUAAAUAGGUUUUUGCUCCUUAUGCGAGGGGCAGUGGAAUAAAACAGCACUAAUUGCCCACUCUGAUACAGCCAGAUACAUAUACAAUUUUUCUCCAGGGAGGGGGCUGCUUAGAAUGGGUAGUUGUAUGAGGUAGUGCUUGAUUUUCUCGAAAACGCUCUGGCAGCUGUUCGUCUACCCGUUCGCAUCGGCUUUUCGUAUUGCCAAGAAGAAGAGUCGCAAUUCAUCAGUGAAGCGGGCUAUGAAACGCCCUAGUGCGACAAGCUUGCUUGUGAGGCGAUGUAAUUCAUUUUUGCUCCUAGGGGGUGGUGUUUCCAUGACUACCUUAACUUGAUCCCUCUUUGGCUGACCAUGAACCUUAGGAAUUUUCCAGCACUUACGCCGAAAGCGCAUUUGGACGGAUUCAGUUUCAUGUCAUACUUCCUUAAGAUGUGGAAGACUUCUUGUAAGUGAAAGGCAUGUUCACUUCGGGUUUUGCUCUUAACCACGAUAUCAUCGAUGUAUAUCUCCACUGUGCGGCCAACUAGAGGUUUGAAGAUCUUCGUCAUCAAUCUCUAAUAGGUGGCGCCAUCGUUUUUAAGUCCGAAUGGCAUGACUUUAUAACAAUAAAGCUCAUGCAGCGUUAUAAAGGCUGUCUUUUCUUCGUCGACCGGAGCUAUGGGGAUUUGGUGGUACCCGGAGAAGGCAUCCAAGAAGGAGAGCAUUCCCUAUCCGGCGGUGGAGUCUACGAUCUGGUCUAUCCGUGGUAGAGGGAAACUGUCUUUUGGGCAUGCGUUGUUGAGGUUGGUGUAAUCGACGCACACUCGCCAUUUGCCUUCUUUUUUGGGGACCACUACUACAUUUGCUAACCAGUCCGGAUACUCCACUUCUCUAAUAAAUCCGACCUCCAGCAAUUUGUCAAUCUCAUCCUGGAUAAUUUUUUGCCUGUCUGGGUGAAAAUGUCUAACCCUCUGUCGGACAAGUCUUGUUGUUGGCAAGACGUUAAGCCUAUGAGAGGUGAUUGAAGGGUGGUUCCCUUCAUGUCAAAAUGCGGCCAUGCAAAGACGUCAUGGCUUUGUCGGAGGGCGUCGUGGAUGUCUUGUGCUUCUUCGGGUGUCAAGAGGGAACUGAUAUGUGUGAGGUGAGUACUUUCUUCCGAUAUCUUGAUUGUCUGCAAGGGAUUCACUGCCGAGGGAUCUUUGUCCUCCGGAUUCAGUAAUUGUUAUUGGUCAAGUGCGCUGGUGGGUUCAGGGAGGGGCUCGUCGCCCUUGCUGAUCCCACCUUCUAGCACUAUCUGAUAGCACUGGCGGGCAGCCAACUGGCUACCGUAUAGAUUGGUUUGUCCAUCUUUAGUAAGAAAGCUCACCAUCUGAUGGUACGUGGAAGGGAUUGCUUUCAUAUAGUACAACCACGCGCGUCCUAAGAUGACGUUGAAGGGGGACAAAUCUCCUACCACUGAAAAUUGUACGUUAAGGGUGACUUGGACUGGCAGCACAAUGUCUCCAAGGGAGGUGGUUGCUACGCCAUUAAAUCCCAACAAGACCCACCCAGGAUUUUCUAAGUCGGAUAGUUCGAGACCCAUUUGAUUAACUACUGAUGCCUGCAAAAGAUCGAUCGAGCUUCCUGGGUUGAUUAGGAUCUAUCUUACAUCAAAGUCUCCCAUCACCAGAGAUAGGAUGAGGGCGUCACGGUGCGGUUGUAGUAUUCGCGUGGGAUCUACGGGAGGAAAAAUGAUUGUCCCAUCUACUGGCUGGGCACUUCCCUCAGUUGCUCCGGUCUAAAUGGUAUUGACGCGCUCGCGUACCGAUGUCGCCCGCAGCAACUUCUGCCUCUUUCUUUUGGAGUUGUACUCCUCAUCCAGAGGUCCUCCAUGAAUAUAAUUGAUGAUGGCUUUGGGGGAGAUUGGGGUCCUGAGGGACCCGGAAUCGCGAUUUCGGGGGGUAUCUCUACCUCUGGCAUCUGAGCAGAGGUAUUGCUUCAAAUGUCCCACUUUUAUGGGCCUUUCCACCAAAUACUGGAGACUCCUGCACGUCUUCAUAGUGUGACCAUGCUCCUUAUGGUAGGCACACUUCUGGCAAUGAUCUCUUUUGGCUGGGUCCGUUCUGAGGGGUCCGGGCCACCUGAAGCCGGACAGGUCCUGGAUCAUAGGGAGGAGUUUCUCAUAUGAUAUGGAAAGGGGUGUGAGUGGUGGCAGUUCUGGGCGACUGGGCUCUCCCUGCCUUCGUUCGGACGGCCUUGACCGGUCUAGAAGUUUGGAACUUCUUUCCGCACCGGUUCUGUAUGUCUGCCCAGCAACCAAAAUUUGUUGGGUGGCCGCACGCACGUCGUCUUCCAGCAUUGAGUAUUUGCUCGCGCGCCGGAACAGGUCAUCCAUUGUCGUGGGAGGCUUCUUAGCGAGCGACUUGAAGAAUGGAGUGCCUGGGCAUAUGCUUCGUUUGAAGAUCUGAAGGACAACAUCCAUGCUAUAAGCCUCUACUUGUAACACAGCUUGACCGAACCGUUUCACUAAUUCUCUCAAAGACUCAUUCUCCUGCAUUUUUAUGUUUUGCAGAGUGCUGAUGUUCUGUUUAUGCCGAGCGGAACACAAGUAUUGCCCCACAAAAGCUUCCGACAGGUCCCUGAAGUUAUCAACAGAGUUCGGGGGUAGUCGGUGAAACCAUGAGAGAGCCUGACCUUGUAGGCUGGUGGGGAAUACUUUGCAUAGCAACGCGUCGUUUCCUAUAUCGAGAGUCAUGAGUUGUCGAUAAUGCAUGAUAUGGUCGAAGGGAUCGCUGGACCCAUCAUACGUGGAAAAUUUUGGUACGAGAAAUCUCCUUGGGGAGUCGUAAUGAAUAAUAUGUGAGCAAAAAGGCAUGGAAAGCAUGUCAUCCAGCCUCUUGCUGAUGGAGCCAGUGGGUGGCUCAUUUGGAGAGUUUCUUCCAGCUUGUCGUACCGCUUGGUGCGGGAGGAUGUUCUACACAACGAGUGCGAUCAAAGGGUUAGGGUACGCUUCCCAAGUUGUGGCCACUGGUGGCCUUAUCUUCCCAGGCUCCUGUGGGCCUAGCCUUGCGCGCAUCGCGUCCGACAGUUGGGGUCUCUUGUCGCGUUGUCUCUUUGAUGAGAGAUGAGUAGAAUCUAAGCUUUCAUCCUGGGGAGCUUGGUGCAUGGGCGUGGGCCGUUCUUGAGGUUGAUUAUUGCACCUCAGGAAUGACCCCCGCAAUCCCAAGAUAUAUCGAUUCUGGAUCAGGCCUCGAAUUUGCUCCCUGGCCUCUUGAGCGCUGGCCAUGAGAAGGCCCCGUCGAUGAAGCCUGGAUGCGUAACACAGUGUUUUCUUCUCUCAAUCUCGUUGUUUCUUGGAGGAGAGCCUGCAUUUGUCGCUUACUCUCCAACUUUCGUCUUUCCAUGGCUUCACGCCAUUCGAAAUAACCUUCACCUCCUCUAGCCGACGAGUGGCUCCUAGAAGGUGUGGACAUCUUCGCCGUCGACUGAGCAAAGUGUUCCCACAGACGGCGCCAAUGUUGAUGCCUUGCGUCCCAAGGAUCCACGCAGCUGCCAAGUGGACGGCGCUUUCAACCAAGAAUGAAUUCUGGCUCAGUCGAUCCUACAAAAGAUGUCCGGACACACCCUUCGAUGGUUUUGUUAGCCAUGGCUCAAUGGAUCAGGCUGUUGCCCUUUUUUCUGAGUUAGUUGGCCUACCUUCUUCUUUGCGUGAAGGUUCUUUUAUAUAGUGUCAGAAGCUCUGCUCCCCUCUUUAAUGGCGGGAAGACUUUUUGGCUUGUCAUGAUGUCUCUGAGGUGAUGGCAGAAUCAUCAUCACCUCCCAGGAGGCUGUCAAAAAUCGUGGGAGGUGACUUGCCAUCACUCCUGUCCUUUCGCUCUGCAGACGAUGAAACAUGGGCUGUGAUUUUAGUUAUCUCCGUCGGUGAAGCUUGAGGAGGAAAAAACAAAACACAAGGUCAUUUCGAUACUCUACGUACUCUUUAGGCUUUACCUGGACAUUAAGAAGAUAAUCAAAGAUUCCAAAGCAGAAUAUGACGAGAGGGAGGUUUGUGGUUUGGUACGUAUUGUAGCUUCAGAUUUGGUCUGUCCCAUAGAGUAAAAGUGAUGGUCCCCAGUUUAAAGCAACGAGGUAAUUUUAUCAUUGAAUUUGCUAGAUUUAGAAGGAUUCAUCGUUUCAAUAUGAUGCCACUUAUUAAUUGUUUCCCGGUAUUCCAGACAUGCUCUUGCUUACAACUCCAAGACAAACGCAUCUCUUUAGAGGCACUGUCCUUGAGAAAUGGUGAUGUUCCUCCAAGCUGUGAGAAAAUCCAAGGGGUUUUUCCCGAGGAUUCUCAAUGUGUGGCCCCGUUGGGUUGAACUGUCCGGGUUAGAAGGUGGAGUGGACUGGGUUGGCUCAACCAUCUCGGAAUAUGGAUUCUGCGUCAAGGGUUCGGCUGCAUCAUGUUGGAGAUGGACUGAUUGGCCCAUGUUUUUGUAAGGGAGUCGAAUCUCAGAGACUGGGCCUAGAUUGAGAAAUUGCAACCAUGCAAUAAAGCCCGUGUGACGUGCUCUUGGAGAUCAAAACAUGAUCCGUAUAACAAACAACCUACUGCCGACCUACACCACAGAUCGUGGUGCUGGCCACCCGUACGGUCUAGAGACCACAUGUACAAGCUCAUGACGCUAUUCCUUCCUAUCACCAAUUUGGAAAUGGCCCACCUAAGAAACAUGUAGCCAUGAUCAAACGGGAAUCCCAUGAUGAGAAAUUGUAGAGAAGAGUUAAAAAUAAAAAAUAAAAAGAAGAAAAAAGAAAGGUCAAUACCACUCGAUCAGGUUCCAGAAAAGGGCAUGUGGAAUAAGAAAUUAAUGCACUGAACGCGAACCAUGGCAGUCCCUCUAUGACAACACCAGUUAAUAGUCGUGUUGUGUCCCCACCUUCUGGAAAUGCCAUCCCUCCCACCAAAUCUCGGUAAUCAAAAUAAAAUGGGUUAUUAUCUUCAACUGCUUGCGUGCCCAAAUCAAUCACGUUUCCGAUAAGCAGUAUAGUUAGUUCUCUCAUUAACAUUUCUUCAGGAUCAAGGAUAUUAUUGAUUUUCAUUGACUUGCUCCUAUUUUGCAUUGGUUGAUGGAGAUAAACACACACAUAUUAAUCCUGAUCUUAAAAAUUGGUAUUAAAUCUGUUCAAGGAACCUAGUCAAGGAAAGCAUAAUCUUGAUUGAAACCUUGCACGCACAGCAUUGUCCACUUGUGGUUUAGCCUGGAUGCUUCUGAAAGCAUCAUGAAUGGAUUCCGAGACUUGUGGUUUAUGCCUGCAUGUUUCUGAAAGCAUCGUGGAUAGGUUCCAAGACCUCAUCAUUACUAGUUUCCCACCCCAAAAUUCCAAGAAGCCACCAAAAUACUCCUUUGAAUGGCUGCACAGGAUUUACACACUAGAAGAAGCCAAAAAAAUGAGACCCUUGGCUGAAGCAUAAUUGGACCCUUGUAAGUCUUUUACUAGAAGAAGCCAAAAAAAUGGGACCCUUUGGCUGAAGCAUAAUUGGACCUUUGUAAGUCUCUUAAUAGAAGAAGCCAAAACAAUGGGACCCCUUGGCUGAAGCAUAAUUGGGACUCUUCAGGCACAUACGGCAUGUGCAAAUAUCUAGAUAUUUUAAUCCCAAGUAAAAUGAUGCUCCUUUUUUCGUAUUCUUUUGUUUGACGUAUGCAUCAGGAUCGGACCGCAUCUAUGUUAUUUUUUAUUCCAAAUUUCAAAUAAAGACGAGACUUCGCUACAAAAUUGUCAACGCCUUUGGGACCCAUAAACCUUUUCUCAAACAAUGAUUAAAGGCAAAUUUUUGUAUUGAUAUAAUGCAACUAGCCAACCAUAUGGGUGUAAGGAUGAGCAUGCAAUCCCAUCAAAAUGGCUUCUGGACCCACACUAUCUUAGUUCGUGGCAGUCAAAUCGCAAUAUAAUAGACGGGGAGUGUUAGAUUUUCUUAAUGAGGUCCAGAAGUCUUGUCCAUAAUCUUUAGGAAUAAUACUAGACUUUGUCAAAUGGGUCUAAAAAUCUAACCCAUAAUAUUUUGACAUUUCCGUCUAUGUAAUCAUGGUUAGGUCCCUAAUUCUUUAACCUCUAUUCACACACAUGUAUCAUCGUUUAAGAUUGAUUAAAAGUUUAAAAACAUCACAACUUAUUUCAAUAUCAAAUUUGAUUUUCGAAUUCCUGAACUAUCAACUAUAGAAAAUAUGUUUUGAUUCUUCAUUUAUUUUUAUAUUUAAUAUAUGUCAUUAAGGUUUUAAGCAUAUUUAGAUUGAUUUUAACACUUAUAAUUGGUAUUAAAACCAUUUUAUUGUCUCUACCUUAAUUAUGUGCAACCUAAAAAAAUUGAUUAUGUGCCUUAAUUAUUUUCUUUUAAUCCUUAUGGUAAAAAAAAUUUCUUACGAAUUUGGAAGAAAACUGUUUGUAUUAUGCUUUUGAAAGAUGAAGAAGUCAAGUUUUGGGCAUGAAAAAUGAGGGCUAUUAAUAUCCAAUCGAUCCCUACCUCCCCUUACAACUUUUACAGUGCAAUGGCCUAGCUAUACCCCUAUUGAUGGGAGCAAGUUGUAGAGUUAUGAUUGUAUGUUGUCCAUAUUAUAGAGAUUUUGAUAUAGUGGUUUAUAGUUUUGAAUCAUUCUUUACAACUUGUAACAAUUGUAUCAUUAUUCCUUUUAAGAGAAAAGGGGUAUAUAGUGGUUAAUAUGUCCUUGUCAACACCCUUUAAAAUCAAAUCCCACAUUUUCUUCAUAAAGUAAUAUAGAUUAGGUACGAACUUCCAGUUUUUAAAUCUGGAAAGCUAUCAAAAAUUAGACAUUUAUACCAAUAAAAAAUAUGAAAAUUUUCCAGAAAUUUAAAAUUUUGGAUAUUUUGUGAAAAUUUCAUAAAUUUGGUAUUUUUGUGAAAAAAAAAAAUCAUAUUUUUGGUGUUUUUAUGAAAAAUACAUAAAUUUGGCAUUUUAUGAAAACCAUUUUGUGGAAUUAAAAUUUGGAUAUUUAUGUGCUUAAAAUCAUGUCUUUUUUGUAUGUAUAAUUUAUUGUUUUCAUUAUAUAUGUAAUUUGAAUUUUUACUAUAUAAAUUUAAACAGUGUUCAUAUAUGUAAAUAUUGCUUAUGGUUGCAUGCAAUUUAUAUAAACAGUUUUGUGAAUAAAAUUAAAUAUCUAUUGAUCUAUAUAAUUUUAAUUAAUUAGGGAUUAGCCACAACAUCUUUAAUUAUGUAAAAUUAUAUAUUAAGUACUUUAGGAUCACAUAUAUAAAAAUGACAUUGAUUGUAAUUAAUCAUAUUUAAAUAUAAUAAAUUUUAUCCUUUAUCAUAUUUGUAUUAUUAAUAAUGAUAGAAUAUCAAAUUAUAUUCUUAAUUUACCUAUAGGAAUUAGGAAAGGAACAUAAUUGAUAGUUUUAUCAUAAAGUUAGAUGAAUCUAAUUGAAUUAGAACUUUAGUACACAUACAAGUUUUAUGUCACUACUUCAUAUUUUUGAAACAUGAUUUAUAUUGGUAAAACAUGAUAUAUAUUUAUUAACCUCAAAUUACUAUUAUAUAAGCAUGUAUGUUUAAUAUUUAUGCAGUUAUGCAAUCUGUGAAUUUUUCCGAUAUAAGAUGUGAUAUUCUUGAACUAAAGGGUGACAACUACAAAGUAUGAAAGGAAAGAAUUCUCUUUCAUUUGAGGUAGAUGGACAUUGAUUAUGUUAUUAGGAAAGACGAACCAAGCAUUACCACAACUAGCACUGUAGAUGAAAAGGCUCUUUAUAAAUGAUGGGUGUGAUCCAAUUGCCUUAGUGUGAUGUUCAUAAAAAACAAAAUCUCUACUGGUAUUCAAUGUUCAGUUGAUCAACAUGAUAAAGUUAAGGCAUUAUUAAAGGCUACUGAUGAACAAUUUCAAACUUCAGAUGAGACACUUGCCAGUACCUUGAUUAUGAAGUUUUCAUCCUUAAGGCUCACCAGUGUAAGAAGUGUAUGUGAACACAUCAUGCAAAUGAGGGACAUUGUAACUCAACUAAAAACUCUUGAGGUUGAAAUGUUUGAAUCUUUCCUUGUGCACUACAUACUGAACACUUUUCCACAACAACUUCUGACCAUGUGUGUUCAAGAGGUAUGGAGGUUGGUAAUGGAAAUUGGUGAGAAUGCAUUAUUCGCAAAACAAGGAAAUAACCAAAACCAAGCCAAAAAAAAAAAAAAAAAAGGAAAGGUAAAAUACUGCCCCAAUGAGAAAUAAAAAAAGAAUCCAAGUGCUUCAUCUGCAAAAAGAAAGGACACAUGAAGAAAAAUUGCUCCAAAUUUCAUAAAUGACUUGAGAAAAAAGGUAAACCAAUCUCAUUUGUUUGUUAUGAAUCUAAUAUGGUUGAUGUUAAGCAUGACACAUUGUGGAUUGAUUCUAGUUCUACAAUCCAUAUUUCAAAUACCUUGUAGGGUACACAAAACCUAAGGAAGCUAGUGGGAAGUGAGUAGUGCAUCUAUUCAAGAAACAAGAUGCAUUCAUAUGUAAAAGCUCUUGGAACAUGCACUUUAGUUUUAAGUAGUGGUUUUGUUCUAAAUUUGGAAAAGACAUUUUACAUUCCAAGUUUUUCUAAGAAUUUGAUUUCAGUUUCAAGACUUGUUCCUUUUGGUUAGUCCUUUUAACUUUUCAAAAACAUCAUUUAGUUUAUUUUAUAAAUCUAAUCUUGUUGGGAAUGGUACAUUGUCUAAUAGUCUUUUCUUUAUUAAUUUGCAAAAUGAUACUACUCAUAAUGUUAUGCAUCUUCACACUGGUGUUAAACGAUGUGUUAUGAAUGAAGAUUCCUUUAUGUUAUAGCACCGAAGAUCAAAACAUAUCUCAAUAGAAAGAAUUAAGAGAUUAGUAAAUUAUGGAGUAUUUAGUACUUUGGAUUUUACUGAUUUUGAUAUUUGUAUGAACUUCAAUAAGAGAAAAUAGAUCAACAAGUAAAAAAAAAUGUGCUAAAAGGAGCAUAGACAUAUUGAAGAUCAUACAUUCAGACAUUUGUAGUCUAGACAUGGACUCAUAUGGUCUAAAAUACUUCAUCUCUUUCAUAAACGAUUACUCAUGAUACAUGUAUCUCUACUUGCUUCAUAACAAGAAUGAAACAUUAAAUGUUGUCAAGUUUUUAAGGCCAAAUUAGAAAAUCAAUAUGGAAACAAAUUAAGAUAAUGAGAACAAAUAGAGAUGGAGAAUAUUAUGGUAAAUACACUAACGAUGGACAAACACCCGGUCCAUUUGUGAAGUUUCUUCAAGAGCAUGGGAUAGUUGCCCAAUAUACCAUGUAUGGUUCUCCAUACUAGAAUGGCAUAGCAGAAAAAAUAAACUGAAUGUUAUUGGACAUGAUACAGAGUAUGCUUAGUAGCUCCAAGCUUAUUAAAUCCUUGUAGACUGAAGCUUUUAAAAUGACAAUGUAUAUAUUGAACCGAGUCCCAACUAAUGUUGCCCUAAAAACGUCAUUUGAAUUAUGGAAAGAUUGGAAACCGAGUUUGCAACAUAUACGCAUUUGGGGAUGCCCAUUUGAAGUAAGAGUUUACCACCCACAAGAGAAUAAACUAGACCUAAGGACCAUUAGUGGAUUUUUCGUUGGAUAUGCAAAAAGGUCUAAAUGGUACAUAUUCUACUAUCCCACAACACUAGGAUUGUGUAAUCAAGAAAUGCAAAAUUCCUUGAGAAUGACUUGUUCAAUGAGAAUAUCAAACCUAAAGCAUAGUCUCUGAGAAAGAUCAAUCUUCCAUUUCAAGUGAAAGGUUGGUUAUUAUUCACAACACCUCUCAAGUUCAAAUGGGAGUUGAGCAACCAAUCGUUGAAGUUCCACAAGCUAUUGAGAAUAAUCCAAUAGAUUAAGUUGUUCAGGAAAUGCCAAAAAUUGUUGAACAACCAAUUGAACAACAUAAUCCUCAGGAAAAUUUUGAUUCAACAUUAAAGAGAUCUACUAGAGCAAGGAAAUUAGCAAUUCCUAGUGAUUAUGUUAUGUAUCUAAAAUAAUUGGAUUAUAACAUUUGAGCCGAAAAUGAUCUUGAAACAUUUUCACAAGCCAUUAGUUGCGAAAGAUCAAAUUUAUGGUACAAUGCCAUGAAGGAUGAGAUGAAUUCUAUGGCAUCUAACGAAGUCUAGAAUCUUGUUGAGUUGUCUGAUAGUGCAAAAGUCAUAGGAUGUAAAUAGGCUUUUAAGACAAAAAAAGACUCAUUGGACAAUAUUGAAAGAUAUAAAGCAAGACUUGUUGCUAAAAAAUUCACUUAAAAGGAAAUAAUCGACUAUAAGGAGUCCUUCUCUCCUAUAUCUAAGAAAGAUUAUUUUCGUAUUAGUAUGACAUUGGUUACACAUUUUGAUUUAGAGGUACAACAAAUGGAUGUGAAAAUGGCUUUCCUUAAUAAAGAUCUAAAGGAAGAAGUUUACAUAAAACAACCAAAAGAAAUUUCCUCUAGAGAUGGUGAGCAUUUGGUGUGCAAGCUCAAGAAAUCCAUAUAUGGAUUGAAACAAGUCUCCCGUUAGUGGUACUUGAAAUUCCAUGAUGUUCGUUAUCUCUUCGUGUGGGUCUGUAGAGAAUAGUAUAAAUCAAUGUAUAUACCAGAAAGUUAGUAAGAGUAAAAUAUGUUUACUUAUUCUAUAUGUGGAUGACAUUUUACUUGCAACUAAUGAUAAGGGUUUGCUACAUGAGGUAAAACAAUUUCUAUUUAAAAACUGACAUGAAAUAUUUGGGUGAUGCUUCUUAUGUCAUUGGCAUUAAGAUACAUAGAGAUAGAUUUUGAGAAAUUUUGGGUUUGUCUCAAAAAACCUAUAUCAACAAAGUUUUAGAGAGAUUUUGGAUAAAAUAUUGUUCACCAAGUAUAGCUCCUAUUGUGAAUGGUGACAGGUUCAAUUUGCACUAGUGCCCAAAAAAUGAUAUUGAAAUGAAACAAAUGAAGAACAUUUCAUAUGUUUCUGUUGUUGGAAACUUAAUGUAUGCUCAAGUCUACAUAAGACUUGACAUUACAUUUUUUGUUAGGAUGUUAAGAAAAUAUCAAAGUAAUUCAGGUACAAACCACUGAAGAGUUGCAAAAAAUGUGUUAAGGUGUUUUCAAGGGACGAAGGACUACGUACUUAUGUAUAAACGGACUAAUAAUCUGGAGGUGAUUAGCUACUCAAAUUCAAACUUUGUUGGUUGUGUUGAUUCACAAAAAUCAACUUCUAGAUUCAUUUUUAUGUUCGUUGGUGGAAUUGUAUCCUGGAGGAGUGCAAAGCAAACUUUGUCUACUACUUCCACUAUAGAGGCUGAGUUUAUAUCUUGUUUUGAGGUUACCUCGCAUGGUGUAUGGAGGAAAAGUUUCAUUUUUUAACUUAGAAUUAUAGAUUCAAUUUCUAAGCUAUUUAGGAUAUAUUGCAACAAUUUAUGUGUAGUUUUUAUGGCUAAAAACAAUAAAAGUGGUAGUCGAAGCAAACACAUCAACAUCAAGUAUUUAGUCAUAAGGGAACAUGUUAAGAAGAAAAUAAUGGUUAUUGAAUACAUCAGCACUGAGUUGAUGAUAGUUGAUCCUUUGACAAAAGGCAUGCCACCAUUGAAAUUCAAGAAUCAUGUGAAUAGAAUGGGACUUCAUUCCUUUAUAUGAUUUUCGUUGUAAUAAUGAAUGUUAUUUGUGAUGAAACUUUAUUAAUGUGAUAAUAUUUUCUCUUAUUUGUUUCUAAUUUGUAUACACAUUCAUUCAUUUGAGAAAUAUUACUAAUGUUUGGACCUGAAAUAAACCUUAGGCUUAUUCAUUAAGUAAUGAAGGCAAGUGUUUAAGAGACAUGAUGCAUUGUGAUACAUGGAAGAUAAUACUUGUUUCAGAGAAUCUAUUGUCAUGAUUUGUGUAUUUUGUUUCUUACUAUGGUGAAUGAUGGAAUAUAUAGACCAAGUGGGAUAAUAUUAGAUUUUCCUAAACAGAUCUAGAAAUCUGGCCUAUAAUCUUCCAUUAAUUUUGGGAAUAAUGCUAGACUUAAAUAGGUCUAGAAAUGCUGUCUCUAUUAUUCUAGAAUUUCUAUUGAUUUAGUUUUACAUUUUUAUUGUCAUUAACAACCAUAAAUAAAUUAUGGUAUUGACUCUGUGAUGGGCAGGGUAAAUAUAAAUAGAGCCUUCGUGGUUAGGUCUCUAAGCUUUUGACUUCGAUUUUUAUUCAAAUACAUAUACACUAUUGUUUAAAAUUGAUUAAGAGUUUAGAAGCACCUCAACCCAUUUGAAGAUCAAAUUUGAUUUCUAAAUUCUCAAAUUGAGGUAUGUUCCUCUUCUCCUUUAUUUCCGCAUUUGAUAUAGGCUACACUGGAAGGACCCAGUGUUGUCUCUAUAAUUGACUCUUAUUUCGUCGUCAUGUUUCCGCCUCAAAAAACCCCGAUUCCUUGUUUACACACUGCUACCAAAGGGGAUAGAUUCCUUGUUUACACACUGCUACCACAGGGGAGAGAGGAGGAGAGCUACCAACCAAACAAUGGAGGUUGAAGCUCAGCUGAGCAGCAACACGAGGAAGGCUCUGCUGGUUCUGAGUUGUGUGAUUCUCUCAAUUGGACACUGCGGUGGUCCCUUGGUGAUGCGCCUAUACUUCGUCCGUGGCGGCGAGAGGAUAUGGUUUUCCAGUUGGUUGGAAACGGCUGGGUGGCCCUUGAUCCUAGUCCCUCUCAUCAUCACUUACAUGCACCGCCGAACUAAGCAAGGCUCCCAUGCCAAGCUCUUCUUCAUGAAACCUCCUCUGUUCGUAGCCUCCGCUGUUAUCGGUGUCCUCACCGCCCUCGAUGACUACCUCUACGCUUAUGGCGUAGCAAAACUGCCCGUUUCAACAAUUGCUCUCAUCAUCGCAAGCCAGCUCGCUUUCACAGCAGCCUUCGCAUUCCUCUUAGUGAAACAAAAGUUCACCUCAUACUCCGUAAAUGCCAUAUUUCUCUUGAGUAUUGGUGCUGGUGUCUUGGCUCUACACACUAGCUCCGACCGCCCUGCUAAUGAGUCCAACAAAGAAUAUUACCUCGGGUUUUUCAUGACACUUGCAGCUGCAGCGCUCUAUGGUUUCAUUCUCCCCCUGGUUGAAUUAACAUACAAGAAAGCAAAGCAGGCAAUAACCUACUCACUGGUCAUGGAGAUUCAAAUGGUGAUGUGCUUCUUCGCCACCUUCUUUUGCACAGUGGGGAUGCUGGUUAAUAAUGACUUUCAGGUGUAUUCCUCUUUUCUAUCCACCCAGUUACCUUUAACACAUUCAACCAGAUAGAACCACCAAAAACAAAGAUUGAUAAUUUAUGUUUGCUUCUUCCUCAUUUAAUUUUGUAGGCAAUUCCCAGAGAGGCAAAAGAAUACGAGCUUGGAGAAGCUAAAUAUUAUCUGGUGGUGGUAUGGAAUGGGAUCAUGUGGCAGUGCUUCUACUUAGGAGCAAUAGGAGUCAUCUUUUGCGCUUCAUCUUUGGUAGCCGGUAUUGUGCUUGCUGUCCUACUCCCCGUGACUGAGAUCUUGGCUGUUAUUUUCUUCCACGACAAAUUUCAAGCAGAGAAGGGGGUUUCACUUGCUCUCUCUCUUUGGGGUUUUGUUUCAUACUUCUACGGCGAGAUAAAGGAUAGCAAGAAAAAGAAGAAUCCCACUCCGGAGACGGAGCUGCCUCAAACAGUCAAUCCAUGAUAAACAAAUGUCUUUCUUUUCCCCACAGAAGAGGGGGGACAGGAUUCGCAUAUAAGCAUUUACUAGGGAAUUUAAAGAAACACUUCAUCUGUAUGUUACAGGCAGUUCAUAACCAAGACUAAAGUGGGUUUCUUUCCAGUUUUGAGAUGAAGGAAUUCCAAUAAAAUAUGGACUGUAAGGUCAAGGCGUGCUAAAUGUGAAGUCGAUACAGAGUGGGAAAAUAUGACAUAUUUUGAGACUUAAUAGUCAUAUCCAAUUUCUAUUAUCUAUAAUAUUAUAUAGUAUUAUAAAAUAAUCUCUCUCAUCCUUGGAUAUGGUUAAACUAUGUUAAAAUUUGAGUAUUCUGUUUAUGGUUGGUUUUAUCUCUGUAUGUUCUUAUUACAGCUUCCACUUAACACAUCAACUUAGUAUUAAAACCUUGGUUGAAUAUUUUUUAGAAGAACCAAAGAUAAUAGAAGAUUGUGGUCCAUGAAAAAAACCCUAACACACACUAUCAAUGUACAAUAGUGUAUACCAUAAAUAAAUAAAAAAGAAGAAAUAUUCACUUAAACGAAAUUUUUAACAGUAGAAAUGGUUGAAAAAUGCUUCCAAUUCCUAAAGAAUAUUUUAAAUAUUGAUUGGGAACUUGCAACAUUUCCCAAUAUUAGAAUCAAUAAGGAAACGGUCUUACUGAGAAAGAAUUGAAGUCAUCGUCAUCCAGGCAAGAUGAUGGGCCAUUAAGGUUAGGUUGGGAUCAAGAGAAGCUGGAUAUGGAUUGUUUUGUUAAUCCAGUAUAACUUAAAAGCUUAAUUAAGUUAUGUAAUAGUGGACCAACAGUGCACUUUGCACUGAUUUGGGUUACAUGUUAGGGUCGUAGCCCAAGUAGGUUGAUAUAUGAUGGUGGACCAACAACUGCAUGCGAAUGAAUGGCUAUGUGAAUUUCCUAAGACUCGGUUCAUUUCAACUUCUACUGAUUGCAUCGAAACUUUCGGGAAGAAUUGGCGUAUGGAUCUUCCCUAAAUGGGUGUUGACGCCGCCAAAAUAGGCACCUCCAAAUACAUGGCCUUAAGCCACCUACAGCAUAGCCGCCCAAGACGCAAGCAUCUGUAGCUAUCCAAAACGAGCUCGGCUAAAAAUAAGUGCCUGCAUAUGAGAUAUGACUCACAUCCAGGACUGGCAGGUUGACCGAACUGACCCUCAAAAGAAGGCCUCACCAACUCUUAAACAUUAUCGGAACAGGCUGGCAGGCUUUAACACAUGCCCUAACCAUAUAAACGUAAAAAAAAAAAAAAAGAAAAAAAAAAAGAAGAAGAUCAUAAUAAGACAAAAAGGGGAGAAAGAAAUUCUCUCGUCUACAGGUGUCGAAGCUUCAUUCAACACAGAGUUGUAAGAUUACCAAUGUUGGGUGCAGACCUAUCCUUUCUAGUUAUCUCCGCCGGUGAAGCUUGAGGAGGAAAAACAAACCACAAGGUCAUUUCGAUACUCUACUCUUUAGGCUUUACCUGGACACUAAGAAGAUAAUCAAAGAUUACAAAGCAGAAUAUGAGGAGGGAGGUUUGUGGUUUGGUACGUAUUGUAGCUUCAGAUUUGGUCUGUCCCAUAGAGUAAAAGUGAUGGUCCCCAGUUCAAAGCAACGAGGUAAGAGUUUUAUCACUGAAUUUGCUGGAUUUAGAAGGAUUCAUCGUUUCAAUAUGACGCCACUUAUUUAUUGUUUCGGGGUAUUCCAGGCAUGCUCUUGCUUACAAUUCCAAGACAAACGCAUCUCUUUAGAGGCACUGUCCUUGAGAAAUGGUAAAGUUCCUCCAAGCUGUGAGAAAAUCCAAGGGGUUUUUCCCGAGGAUUCUCCAUGUAUGGCCCCGUUGGGUUGAACCGUACGGGUUAGAAGGUGGAGUGGACUGAGUUGGCUCAACCAUCUUGGAAUAUGGAUUCAGCGUCAAGGAUUCGGCUGCACCAUGUUGGAGAUGGACUGACUGGCCCAUGUGUUCUGUAAGGGAGUCCAAUGGGCACCCAUGCAAUAAAAGCCCGUGUGACGUGCUCUUGGAGAUCAAAACAUGAUCCGUACAAUACAACUUACUGCCGACCUACGCCACAGGUCGUGGCGCUGGCACCCGUAGGGUCUAGAGACCACAUAUUCAAACUGAUAAUUACAGUAUUCAUUCCUGUCACCAAUUUCGAAAUGGCCCACCCAAGAAACAUGUGGAGCUUUCACCCAAAAUAUUGCGUUUUAAAAAAAAAUUUCAAAAAAUAAAGUUGUUUUAAAAAUAAUGUACGAUGUAAUAAAUAUAUACCACAUAAGCUGUCAUGGCAUAAAACUGUAGUUGAUGACUACGGUUUUAUUUUUUUAAAAUGGUUAGAAACCGUAGUUACCAACCACGGUUUUAACUUUAAGUUUAAAGCCGUAGUUGGUGACUACGGCUUUGACAUUUUUUUAAAAUGGUCAAAGUCAUAGUUACCAACUACGAUUUUAACUUUAUAUAUAUUUAUAUAUAACUUUAAUUUUUUUAAUAAAAAUAUUAUAUUAUUUUGAUUUUAAAUAUACUUAUUUCAUUAUUUUAAAAAUAAUAAUAUAUGAAAUUAAAUAAAUGAUAUUUUUAAUUUGAUAUAAAUAUAUUUUUAAAUUUUAUUAAAAUAAUAUAUUCUAUAUUUAAUAUAAAUAUAUUUAUUUAAUUAUAUUUAAAUAUAAAUAAAAUAUAAUAAAUUAUGAAAGCCUAUUAAAAAACAAAUAAUAUAAAUUAUUAUAUUAAUUAAUAAUUUUUUAUAUACUAUAUGUAAGUGGUAUAUAAUGUCACAUGUAUAUAAGUUCAAUUAAGUUUAAAAUUUAUCAUAUUUUAAUUUAAGUUCAUAAUAUUAUAUCGAUAUGAUAAUAAUUUAUUUAUAUAUUUAAAUAAAUAUGCUAAAUUUUAAACUUAAAUUAAAAUUAUAUAUAUAUAUAUAUAUGUGUGUGUGAUAUUAUAUACUAUUUACAUAUAAUAUAUAAAAAAAUUAUUAAUUAAUAUAAUAAUUCAUAUUAUUUUUUUCUCCAAAUAGGCAUUUAUAAUUUAUUUAUUUUAAAUAAACAUAAUUUAUUAUAUUUCAUUUAUAUUUAAUUUUAAUUAAAUAAUUAUAUUUAUAUUAAAUAUAGUGUCAAUUGUUUUAAUAAAAUUUAUUUAUAUAUUUAAAAAUAAUGUGAUAAAUUUUAAACUUAAAUUAAACUUUUAUAUAUAUAUAUAUAUAUAUAUAUAUAUAUAUGUGUGUGAGAGAGAGAGGUAUUAUAUACCACUUAUAUAUAAUAUAUAAAAAAAUUAUUAAUUAAUAUAAUAAUUUAUAUUACUUUUUUAUUUUUCUAAAUAGGUAUUUAUAAUUUAUUUAUUUUAAAUAAAUAUAAUUUAUUAUAUUUUAUUUUAAUUAAUUAAUUAUAUUUAUAUUAAAUAUAGUGCCUAUUGUUUUAAUAAAAUUUAAAAUAUAUUUUUAUAUCAAAUUAAAAAUAUCAAUUAUUUAAUUUCGUAUAUUAUUAUUUUUAAAAUAAUAAAAUAAGUAUAUUUAAAAUCAAAGUAAUAUAAUAUUUUUAUUAAAAAAAUUAAAAUUAUAUAUAAAUAUAUAUAAAGUUAAAACCGCAGUUGGUGACUACGGUUUUGACCAUUUUUAAAAAAAAAAAUCAAAGUCGUAGUCACUAACUACGACUUUAAACUUAAAGUUAAAACCGUGGUUGGUAACUACGGUUUCUAACCACUUAAAAAAAUAAAACCGUAGUCACCAACUACAGUUUUAUGACAUGGCAGUUUAUGUAGCACAGACGCAUUAGAUCGGUCAUUAUUUUCAAAGCAAUUUUAUUUUUUGGAAUUUUUUUUUAAAACACACUAUUUUGGGUCAAAGCUCAAUGGCCAUCAAACGGGGAAUCACGUGAUGAGAAAUUGAAGAGAAGAAUUAAAAACAAAAAAUAAAUAAAAAGAAGAAAAGGAAAGGUCAAUACCCCUCAAUCAGUUUCAAGAAAAGGGCAUGUGUUAUGAGCAAUGCACUGAAACGCGAACCAUUUCAGCCCUCCAAAGGACAACACAAGUUAAUAGCCCGUGUGGUCCCAACCUUCUGGAAAUACGAUUCCUCCCACCAAAUCUUGGUAAUCAAAAUAAAAUGGGUUAUCAUCUUCAACUGCUUUGCAUGCCUAAUGAACAUUGUUUUCGAUUACCAGUAUAGUUAGUUCUCUCAUUAACAUUUCUUCAGGAUCAAGGAUAUUGUUUUCAUUGACUUGCUCCUAUUUUGCAUUUGUUGAUGGAGAUACACAACGCACACACAUUAAUCCUAAUCUUAAAAAAUGGUAUUAAAUCUGUUCAAGGAAGCUAAGCAGGAAGAGCAUAAAACCUUGCAUUCACAGCAUUGUCGAUUUGUGAUUUAGCCCGGAUGCUUCUGAAAGCAUUAUGGAUAGGUUCGAAGCCCUCAGAAAUUAGACUAAUGCCAUGUUUACGUCAUCAUUACUAGCUUUCACACCAAAAUUCCAAAAAGAUAAACGCUAUGGUAUUAGUUUAAUGUUUAUCUCAUUGCCACCACACUAGUCAUCUAGAAGGUUUUACUGCUUUGAAUGGCUGCACAGGGUUUACACAAUAGAAGUAAAAAAAUGGGGCCUCUUCGCUGAAGCAUAAUUGGACUCUUGUGAGUCUAACCAUUAAUCUGGAACUGGAAAGCUGCCCUCUUUUAUUUAACUCCUAUAAUGAAGAUAAUGAUCCGAGACAUCAAUGUUUUCAACGAAAACUGGAUCGCUACACUUGGAUGUCCAGCAAAUUUUCAAUUUAAAUAAUGUACAAGACAAUCAAGGAGGUGAAAAAAAUUGAUGAAGCGAAUCAACAGUUUCUGAUACCAAUUUCAGGCACAUACGGCAUGUGCAAAUAUCUAGAUAUUUUAAUCCCAAAUAAAAUAAUGGUUCCUUUUUUCGUUUUCUUUUGUUUGACGUAUGCAUCAGGAACGGAACAUAUCUUAUAUUAUUUUGAUUCCAAAUUUCAAAUGAAGACGAGAUUCCAUAACUGAAUUGUCAACACGACCUUUGGGACUGAUGAACCUUAUUCAAACAAUGAUGAAAGGCAAAUUUUUGUAUUGAUAUAAUACAACUAGCCAACUGUAUGGGUGUAAGGAUCAAGGAAGACUAGGAAAUUUCGAAGGAUGAGACUACAACCCCAUCAGAAUGCCUUCUGGACCCACACUAUUUUAGUUCGUGGCAGUCAAAUCGCAAUAUAAUAGACGUAGGGAAGGACCCAAUGUUAUCACUAUAAUUGACUCUUAUUUCGUCGUCAUGCACCGCCUCAAAAAACCCGAAUUCCUCUUGGCACUGCGACUUCAAGGGAGAAGGAGAAGGAGUAGGAGAGGGGAGAGGGGAGAGGGGAGAGGGAGGGAGAGCUACCAACCGAACAGUGGAGAUGGAAGCUCAGCUGAGCAGCAACAUGAGGAAGGCUCUGCUGGUUCUGAAUUGUGUCAUUCUCUCAAUUGGAAACUGCGGUGGUCCCAUGGUGAUGCGCCUGUAUUUCGUCCGUGGCGGCGAGAGAAUAUGGUUUUCCAGUUGGUUGGAAACGGCUGGGUGGCCCUUGAUCCUAGUCCCUCUCAUCAUCACUUACAUCCACCGCCGAACCAAGCAAGGCUCCCAUGCCAAGCUCUUCUUCAUGAAACCUCCUCUGUUCGUGGCCUCCGCUGUUAUCGGUGUCCUCACCGGCUUCGAUGACUACCUCUACGCCUAUGGCGUAGCAAAACUGCCCGUUUCAACAUCUGCUCUCAUUAUCGCAAGCCAGCUCGCUUUCACAGCAGCCUUCGCGUUCCUCUUGGUGAAACAAAAGUUCACCUCAUACUCCGUAAAUGCCAUAUUUCUGUUGAGUAUCGGUGCCGGUGUCUUGGCUUUACACACUAGCUCCGACCGCCCUGCUAAUGAGUCCAACAAAGAAUAUUAC
rnacentral:lncRNA from 1 species